AAGAAACGUUUAUGCCCUUUGGCAGGGAAAGAUAUCAGAGUCGGGGCCAAGAGAUUCACUAUAUUUACAGUGGAUAAUUGCUCUUUCUUUUGUAGUCCCAAAAUACCUCUAUUGUUUCCAUUUUGCAGGGGAUGAAUUGAGGCUGGAGGUCUAAACAACUUGCUCAAGGAUGCACAGCUUCCCCUCUGUAUGUGAUUCCACCUGCGUGAACCGGUGUGCUCGUGAUUCCUGGAUACUGGUAUUGUAAGAGGACUGCAUUAUGUACCAUCCAAGACUGCAACAGGAAUAAAGCUCUUCUUGGAACAA